rnacentral:rRNA from 1 species
AUGGCGAUGGUUCUGCGGCGCCUCGCCGGCGCAUCAGGCUCGCCUUCGGCGGCUGCACUGCUGCUCCGGCCGGCGCUGACCCGCCCGAUCUCCACCGGCUUCCGCGAGGAGCGCGACACGUUCGGCCCCAUCCGCGUGCCCAACGACAAGUUGUGGGGCGCGCAGACACAGAGAUCGCUGCAAAAUUUCGACAUUGGCGGUGAGCGCGAGCGGAUGCCUGUGCCUAUCAUCCGCGCCUUUGGCGUGCUAAAAAAGUGCGCCGCUAAGGUGAAUAUGGAGUAUGGCCUUGAUCCAACAAUUGGGAAGGCAAUAAUGCAGGCGGCUGAGGAGGUUGCAGAGGGAAAGUUGGAUGAUCACUUUCCGCUUGUUAUCUGGCAAACUGGCAGUGGCACACAAAGCAACAUGAAUGCCAAUGAGGUAAUUGCAAAUAGAGCAGCUGAGAUACUUGGACAUAAGCGCGGUGACAAGUUUGUGCACCCUAAUGACCAUGUGAACAGGUCACAGUCCUCGAAUGAUACAUUUCCCACUGUUAUGCACAUAGCAGCAGCUGUAGAGAUCAAUUCAAGGUUUAUCCCAAGUCUGGAGCAGUUGCAUAAGUCACUUCAUUCAAAGUCUGAUGAGUUUAAAGACAUCAUUAAAAUUGGGCGUACACAUACCCAAGAUGCCACCCCACUGACUCUUGGUCAAGAGUUCAGUGGUUAUGCUACACAGGUGAAAUAUGGAAUUGACCGAAUUGCAUGUACCUUACCAAGGAUGUAUCAGCUUGCUCAAGGUGGUACUGCAGUUGGUACUGGCUUGAACACGAAGAAAGGAUUUGAUGGCAAAAUUGCAGCUGCUGUGGCUGAGGAAACAGAACUACCUUUUGUGACAGCAGAGAACAAGUUUGAAGCUUUGGCAGCACAUGAUGCUUUUGUUGAGAGCAGUGGUGCUGUUAACACAAUUUCUGCAUCUCUUAUGAAGAUAGCAAAUGACAUACGCUUGCUGGGAAGUGGCCCUCGUUGUGGACUUGGUGAACUUAUCCUACCAGAAAAUGAGCCUGGGAGCAGCAUUAUGCCUGGAAAGGUUAAUCCUACCCAGUGUGAGGCUCUGACCAUGGUUUGUGCUCAGGUUAUGGGCAAUCAUGUCGGUGUUACAAUAGGUGGUUCAAAUGGGCAUUUUGAACUGAACGUUUAUAAGCCAAUGAUUGCUGCUGGAUUGCUUCGAUCAUUGAGAUUAUUAGGGGAUGCAUCUGUAUCCUUUGAGAAAAACUGUGUCAGGGGAAUAGAAGCAAACCAUAAGAGAAUUUCACAAUUGUUGCACGAGUCUUUGAUGUUGGUGACAUCGUUGAACCCCAAAAUUGGCUAUGACAAUGCUGCAGCCGUUGCUAAGAAAGCUCACAAAGAAGGAACAACACUGAAGGAAGCUGCUUUAAGCCUUGGAGUUUUGACGGAAAAAGAAUUCCAUGAACUCGUUGUUCCAGAGAAAAUGAUUGGCCCUUCUGAUUAA